CUCAAGGGUUAGAUGAUGAUAGAGCUGAUGUUCUUCUUAUUGACCAAGAUGCACCAACCAGUCUUGAAGAGGAUCUCGUUUUGUAAAGGAGCCAUGCAGAAGAAGAAUUCCCAGAGGGAGCCUAAUGUCUGUGAAAUGUCAUAUAUUGCUUACACAGAAACCAGUUACUCAAAGAGCUAUGCUGUUCUUAUGCCCUGUGAUGGAUCUACUGGGGAUAGAGAUAAGAGCCUGUCUGCCUGCCUCAGCCUGUGCACCUGAUCGUUCUUUUCCUGAAGCAACUUGUCAUGCCUUCACAGUGCACACCUGACCAGUUCCAAACCAAAAAGGGAUGUGCCUGGACGUGUGUGGAUAGAUGGCUGAGGGAGACAUUAUUGUUGUUGUUGAGCCUCCAUCAUCUCUCACCUGGACUGGUGCAGUCUUCUCCAAGACCCUAGGCUUCAGAAGCAGACGAGGGAACGAGCAGAAGAACAGAAGAACAGCAGAAUGGCAUGGCAGAGAGAAGAAAGGGACCAUCUGAACGCCAAGAGAAAUUCAGCUGGGGGAGGUCAGAGAGGAGAUAGACUGCAGGACAGCCAAGCUCCAGGGGAAGAUCAUCUUCCCACUCCAUCCCCUUUCCAGCUCCCCAUCCAUCCCGCUGAGAGCCACCUCCACCACUCAAUAAAACCCUGCAUUCACCAUCCUCAAGUCUGUGUGUGACCUGAUUCUUCCUGGAUGCCGGACAAGGACCUAGGUACCAUGAGGGCACUGAGCUGGUUAACACUUAAGCUAUCUGCAGGCAGCACAGCUAAAAGAAUGCAUGGUAACACAUGCCUACUUGGGCUUUGGGAGUUGCAGGCACCCACCCCUAGAAGCUACCAUGGGGCUGGAGCCCCAAGGUGCUUGCCCUGGC
rnacentral:lncRNA from 1 species